rnacentral:rRNA from 1 species
UACGUAGGGGGGCAAGCGUUGUCCGGAAUUAUUGGGCGUAAAGCGCGCGCAGGCGGCUUCUUAAGUCUGAUGUGAAAGCCCACGGCUCAACCGUGGAGGGUCAUUGGAAACUGGGAAGCUUGAGUGCAGAAGAGGAGAGUGGAAUUCCACGUGUAGCGGUGAAAUGCGUAGAUAUGUGGAGGAACACCAGUGGCGAAAGCGGCUCUCUGGUCUGUAACUGACGCUGAGGCGCGAAAGCGUGGGUAGCAAACAGG